CCUACGGGAGGCAGCAGUGGGGAAUAUUGCACAAUGGGGGAAACCCUGAUGCAGCGACGCCGCGUGAGUGAAGAAGCGUUUCGGCGCGUAAAGCUCUGUCAGCGGGGAAGAAACACGGGUCGCGAGAGCCGCGGACGGUACCCGACCAAGAAGCCCCGGCUAACUACGUGCCAGCAGCCGCGGUAAUACGUAGGGGGGAAGCGUUAUCCGGAUUCACUGGGGGUAAAGGGGGCGUAGACGGCGAGACAAGUCUGGAGUGAAAGGCCGGGGCCCAACCCCGGGACUGCUCUGGAAACUGCCUGGCUAGAGUGCAGGAGAGGUAAGUGGAAUGCGUGGUGUAGCGGUGAAAUGCGUAGAUAUUAGGAGGAACACCAGUGGCGAAGGCGGCUUACUGGACUGUAACUGACGUUGUGGCUCGAAAGCGUGGGGAGCAAACAGGAUUAGAUACCCGAGUAGUC
rnacentral:rRNA from 1 species